GACGAACGCUGGCGGCGUGCCUAACACAUGCAAGUCGAGCGGAGUCGAUCGACGGAAGCCUUCGGGCGGAAGAUGGUUGACUUAGCGGCGGAUGGGUGAGUAACGCGUGGGCAACCUGCCUCGAAGACCGGGAUAACAGCCCGAAAGGGCUGCUAAUACCGGAUGUGGUCAAGGAUCCGCAUGGAUUUUUGAUUAAAGGGGAAACCCGUUUCGAGAUGGGCCCGCGUCCUAUCAGCUAGUUGGUGAGGUAAAAGCUCACCAAGGCGACGACGGGUAGCCGGCCUGAGAGGGUGACCGGCCACACUGGAACUGAGACACGGUCCAGACUCCUACGGGGGCAGCAGUGGGGAAUCUUCCACAAUGGGCGAAAGCCUGAUGGAGCGACGCCGCGUGAGCGAAGAAGGCCUUCGGGUUGUAAGACUCUGUCUGGAGGGACGAAGGAAGUGACGGUACCUCCGGAGGAAGCCACGGCUAACUACGUGCCAGCAGCCGCGGUAAAGUACUACUAUCUCGGAC
rnacentral:rRNA from 1 species